UAUUUAUUUCUCAGCAGCACAUCAUUCUCUGUAAUCCAUGCAGUUAUAUCAGAAGUGGAUUUUGCUUCAUCAGUUGACGUGUAACAGUACCAUCUGGACUCAGCAGAUACUAAGCUUGAUUUAUUUUGAGGGACAUCGUAACAGAACUGAAGACUUGGCAACGCUUGAUAGAAUCCCCUUCUUUGAAUACAAUAUACGCAAAACAGACUUUCUCAACAGACCAUCUCCUCGCCUCUUCUGUUCCCACCUCCCAUAUUAUUUAGUACCGAAAGGUCUCAAGAG